UUGUUUUCUCGCUGUUUUGUC
rnacentral:piRNA from 1 species